AUCUCUGUGUAGAUAUAGUAGAGUAUCGUGUCAGUCGAGCAGAUACUUUGAUUUCUAGGUUCAGGAUGGAGAUUUGAUCUCCCAUACGGAUGCUGUAUAGGGAUCUAACUUAAGAAGUGGCUUGGAGUCAUUAAAUCUGAAAUGAAGUCCAUGAAGAUCGAUGAUAUAUGGACAUUUAUUGAAUCACCUAAAAAGGUAAGACCCAU
rnacentral:lncRNA from 1 species